AUUGAACGCUGGCGGCAUGCCUUACACAUGCAAGUCGAACGGUAACGGGCCUUCGGGUGCCGACGAGUGGCGAACGGGUGAGUAAUGCAUCGGAACGUACCUUUCAGUGGGGGAUAACGUAGCGAAAGUUACGCUAAUACCGCAUAUUCUGUGAGCAGGAAAGCAGGGGAUCGCAAGACCUUGCGCUGAUUGAGCGGCCGAUGUCAGAUUAGCUAGUUGGUGAGGUAAAGGCUCACCAAGGCGACGAUCUGUAGCGGGUCUGAGAGGAUGAUCCGCCACACUGGAACUGAGACACGGUCCAGACUCCUACGGGAGGCAGCAGUGGGGAAUUUUGGACAAUGGGGGCAACCCUGAUCCAGCUAUGCCGCGUGAGUGAAGAAGGCCUUCGGGUUGGUAAAG
rnacentral:rRNA from 1 species